CUUCUGUGAUGAGGUUUCUACUUCAUGGUCCGUGUAUUUGACACCCGUGAUAUGAAAGAAGUUCUGAAGAU